rnacentral:rRNA from 1 species
GACGAACGCUGGCGGCGUGCCUAAUACAUGCAAGUCGAACGAGAGCGACCGGUGCUUGCACUGGUCAAUCUAGUGGCGAACGGGUGAGUAACACGUGGGUAACCUGCCCAUCAGAGGGGGAUAACAUUCGGAAACGGAUGCUAAAACCGCAUAGGUCCUUUGACCGCAUGGUUGAAGGAGGAAAAGAGGCGCAAGCUUCUGCUGAUGGAUGGACCCGCGGUGCAUUAGCUAGUUGGUGAGGUAACGGCUCACCAAGGCCGUGAUGCAUAGCCGACCUGAGAGGGUGAUCGGCCACAUUGGGACUGAGACACGGCCCAAACUCCUACGGGAGGCAGCAGUAGGGAAUCUUCCGCAAUGGACGCAAGUCUGACGGAGCAACGCCGCGUGAGUGAAGAAGGUUUUCGGAUCGUAAAACUCUGUUGUUAGAGAAGAACAAGUGCUAGAGUAACUGUUAGCGCCUUGACGGUAUCUAACCAGAAAGCCACGGCUAACUACGUGCCAGCAGCCGCGGUAAUACGUAGGUGGCAAGCGUUGUCCGGAUUUAUUGGGCGUAAAGCGAGCGCAGGCGGUUCCUUAAGUCUGAUGUGAAAGCCCCCGGCUCAACCGGGGAGGGUCAUUGGAAACUGGGGAACUUGAGUGCAGAAGAGGAGAGUGGAAUUCCAUGUGUAGCGGUGAAAUGCGUAGAUAUAUGGAGGAACACCAGUGGCGAAGGCGACUCUCUGGUCUGUAACUGACGCUGAGGCUCGAAAGCGUGGGUAGCAAACAGG